rfam:Sus scrofa isolate TJ Tabasco breed Duroc chromosome 1, whole genome shotgun sequence.
AGAUAUGAGGGCAAUGUGGCUGUGACAUCUGUCACCCCACUGAUCACCAGCAUUGAUUUCACUGACCUGGCUGGCUAGGUGGGUGUCCCCUUCCUCCCUCACCACUCCAUGUGUGCCCCUCCUGAAGCUGUGCACUCGGUCGAAGAGGAUGACCAUCCCUAAUAGAGAUGGCCUAUUCUUUGGUCAAGGGCAGACAAGCAGCUGUGUUCCCCUGCUAGAACUUCCAAACAAGCUCUCAAAGAUUGCCUCCUCAUGUCAUGCUCCCACUUUCAUGUUAUCUUAGAUCUUGCUACCUUUCUGACCUACAAGAAAGCUUUUCAUAUUUUU